AAUAAUUAAAGGGAUUUGGUUGGCAGGGAGCACUAUGAGAGUUAAAGGUGAAAUUUGGUGUUUGAGUGUAGUGAGCCUGUUAACUAAAAGUUCUUGAGGUUAUAAAAUUUUAGAUCUAAAUCAGGAUUAGAUACCCUGUUAUACUAUCUUUCAAUUUAAGAAUACUUGAGUAUUAAUCAGUUAUGUUCUCGAAACUUAAAGGAUUUGGCGGUAUUUUAGUCGAGUUAGAGGAACCUGUUCUGUAAACGAUAAACCACGAAGAAUCUUACUCUUUUUUGUAAGUCAGUUUGUAUACCGUCAUUAUUAGAUAAUCUUUAUAAGGAAUUAUUGGGAUAAGUGUUUUAGUAUAUUAGAUCAAGGUGCAGCCGAUAGAAGAGCAAGAAAUGGGUUACAUUAUUAUUGAUAUAUACUGGGAGGGAGUUGAAAAGUUCCUUGAAGGUGGAUUUAAUGGUAAUAGUCUUUUAAUAAGGGAUUAUGAUAGUAGCUCUAAGAUAUGUACACAUCGCCCGUCGCUCUCACUCUUAAUGU
rnacentral:rRNA from 1 species